rnacentral:misc_RNA from 1 species
AUUGCUAUCCUCAAUAUACCACUAUGAUGGGACUCGCCGUUUUUGCGCUCUUGCUGAGUUACGGGCAGUGCGGCUUGUUAACUCAACAGUUGUUGAUGCCAGCAAUACCCUCAGGGUGUUACUACCGUGGUUCCGUUUACCCCUUUGGGUGGUUUAGUACCCGCCAUUGUGAGAGCUGCCAGUGCUCCACCAGUGGUCAAGUGAUGUGUAUGUUUAAUGACUGCUGGCAACCUGCAUGUGCGGACCCCGUUCAGGAAAAGGAUUAUUGUUGUCCCACGUGCCCUAACGGUAAAUAUCAAACAUAUUUACAUGUACAUGCUAGAGGGGCACUCCAAGAGCUUUAUACAAUUUGAAAAUAUUAUUUUAAACUUGUUGCCAAAAUUUUAUUAUUUGCUUUUUCGUUUCCCAAAGACCUGGGCCAAAAUAUACAUUUAACAUAUAUCCAUCGAAUACAUGUGUUUAGUUUUACUUCAGUCUAAAUAUGUACCAGCAUGUUGACACAUAAGUACAUCGUAGGCACUUUCUGUUGCACAAUGAUUACUACAUAAACACGUAAUAAUAUUUAUACUGCAAUGAAUGAAGUUAUUGUUAAAAACGUAUAAGGCAGAGGUAUAUACUGUGAUCGUUUGACGAUUUAUCAACUUUUCAAUCUCAAACGAAAAGCAUCUUAAUAACCUUAUACUGCAUCUACGUCAUUCUAAAUUUUGAUUUAGGUUGUCAACAUGUGCAGAUCUAGAAUCAAGUGGGGGGGGGGAUAAUAAAAAAUUAAAUACUUGUAUGUUUAAAUGGUUAAACUACAGUAAAAAGGUCUCAACGACCCAGACUCAGUCAUCCUCACCCGGCAUGCAGAAAUACCAACUUUAACACCCCUCGCCCAGGAGAGUAAUGAGGAUAUUAGAUUACUUUCUUUAACUGCAUUGUUGACAGGUUACACCUGCAAAGCCCCAGACGGGCAUAUUGUCAAAGCCGGGGAGACCUAUCAUCUGAACAGCUACACUUCCUGUCAAUGUGCCACCCAGAUAGGGGCUUCCUUUAAAGCCAUCUGCACACAACAGAAUCCCAGCAUUCCGUAGUAAUUACGUCGCUUUCAACGUUGAUAUCCACCCUAGUCCGCCCCAGCCGUCCCAGACACAGUAUUGUAAUAUUAUACAGUAAAAGUCUUAUUUAUUUUCACAUUCAAUAAACUUAAGUUUUUGGUU